rnacentral:tRNA from 1 species
GGGCCGUUAGCUCAGUUGGUUAGAGCACGCCCCUGAUAAGGGCGAGGUCGAUAGUUCGAAUCUAUUACGGCCCACCA